CUGCAAGCUCCGCCUUCUGGGUUCAGGCCAUUCUCCUGCCUCAGCCUCCCGAGUAGCUGGGAGUAGAGGCGCCCGCCACCACACCUGGCUAACUUUUUGUAUUUUUAGUGGAGAGGGAGUUUCACCGUUUUAGACAGGAUGGUCUCGAUCUCCUGACCUCCUGAUCCACCCGCCUCUGCCUGCCAAAGUGCUGGGAUUACAGACGUGAGCCACCGCGCCCGGCUGUUUUCUUUUUUUUAACAGUAGGAAAACACAAGCGUGAAGCCUCCAUUUGGGAAGCCUGCAGAAGCCCCAAUCCAAUCACAGCACUGCCAGAGGAUCUUAGAAGUUGAAUAUCAAUUUAAUAACACAUCCUGUUUGAGAUUGGGUUCUAACUAUAUUGCCCAAGCUAGAUUCAAACUCUUGGGCUCAAGUGAUCCUCCUGCCUAAGACUCCUUAGUAGCUUGGAACUUCAGAACCAUCUGUCAAUGGCUACUUCAUACUUUAGAUGCUCCAAGAGGAAAAAGUCAUUUCAGAAUUGUAUCCAUAACCCAGUUUCAUUGAAGAUGGAGUCUUCCUUCAGAUUUUCUACAUAGACAAUUAUACCUCUGUGAACAAAGACAGUUUAUUUCUUCCUUCCCAAGACCAGUUUUGCUGUUUCCCAGGCAGUUCUUGAACUCCUGCCUCAAGCUAUCCUCCUGCCUCAGCUUCCUGAGUAGCUGGGAUUACAG
rnacentral:lncRNA from 10 species